rnacentral:misc_RNA from 1 species
AAGUCGUAACAAGGUUUCCGUAGGUGAACCUGCGGAAGGAUCAUUAACACGUUAUCCACGUACCUACCUCUUGCGAACUUUUUACUGUUUAAGAGUCGGCAGACCAGCGUAGAUGAUGGAGGUAGAUGUUACUAUGUCCAGCGUGAGGCCCGCCGCCCGCCCUGGUUCUACCUGCCUAACUGACUUCCCUCCCCCCCUCAUGUGCUGUGUGUAUUGGGGGGUGUGUGGGCGUGGUUGGAUAUUCUGGUUCAAAUGACUCGAAUCAUAGUAGUUUUUUGUAUUAACCCCUUUUUACAAAUUUGUUGAAUUGUGAUGGUCUGAAGGUAACACUUCAUACUCACGUUAAUAAAACACUAUACAACUCUUAGCAACGGAUAUCUCGGUUCU